GAUGAACGCUGGCGGCGUGCCUAAUACAUGCAAGUCGAGCGAACAGACGAGGAGCUUGCUCCUCUGACGUUAGCGGCGGACGGGUGAGUAACACGUGGAUAACCUACCUAUAAGACUGGGAUAACUUCGGGAAACCGGAGCUAAUACCGGAUAAUAUAUUGAACCGCAUGGUUCAAUAGUGAAAGACGGUUUUGCUGUCACUUAUAGAUGGAUCCGCGCCGCAUUAGCUAGUUGGUAAGGUAACGGCUUACCAAGGCAACGAUGCGUAGCCGACCUGAGAGGGUUAUCGGCCACACUGGAACUGAGACACGGUCCAGACUCCUACGGGAGGCAGCAGUAGGGAAUCUUCCGCAAUGGGCGAAAGCCUGACGGAGCAACGCCGUGUGAGUGAUGAAGGUCUUCGGAUCGUAAAACUCUGUUAUUAGGGAAGAACAAAUGUGUAAGUAACUAUGCACGUCUUGACGGUACCUAAUCAGAAAGCCACGGCUAACUACGUG
rnacentral:rRNA from 1 species